CUGGAAGCAGCAGGCUGGCUAAAUACUGAAGUGCUGAGAGUGGACAAAGACUCUAGGUUGGUGAAACCACAUUGUUUUGUUUAGUUUAACCCUGAGAGAUAGGGAACCUAAUGUCAGUUAGUGCUCAGACGAGCUAGGUUUUUGUUUUAUAAGGUUUUGUGUUACAUUUAUGUUUUUCAUUUACUGCUGUAUCCUGUGUGGAUUUAAAAAUAAAGUGCCU